GAUGAACGCUGGCUACAGGCUUAACACAUGCAAGUCGUGGGGAAACGGCAUUAUGUGCUUGCACAUUCUGGACGUCGACCGGCGCACGGGUGAGUAUCGCGUAUCCAACCUGCCCCUUACUUGGGGAUACCCCGUUGAAAGACGGCCUAAUACACGAUGUGUUUCAUUGACGGCAUCCGAUAUGAAACAAAGGUUUUUCCGGUAAGGGAUGGGGAUGCGUCUGAUUAGCUUGUUGGCGGGGCAACGGCCCACCAAGGCGACGAUCAGUAGGGGUUCUGAGAGGAAGGUCCCCCACAUUGGAACUGAGACACGGUCCAAACUCCUACGGGAGGCAGCAGUGAGGAAUAUUGGUCAAUGGACGCAAGUCUGAACCAGCCAAGUAGCGUGCAGGAUGACGGCCCUAUGGGUUGUAAACUGCUUUUAUGUGGGAAUAAAUUGGCGCACGUGUGCGCCAUUGCAUGUACCUCAUGAAUAAGGACCGGCUAAUUCCGUGCCAGCAGCCGCGGUAAUACGGAAGGUCCGGGCGUUAUCCGGAUUUAUUGGGUUUAAAGGGAGUGUAGGCGGUCUGUUAAGCGUGUUGUGAAAUUUAGGUGCUCAACAUUUAACUUGCAGCGCGAACUGUCAGACUUGAGUACACGCAGCGCAGGCGGAAUUCAUGGUGUAGCGGUGAAAUGCUUAGAUAUCAUGAGGAACUCCGAUCGCGAAGGCAGCCUGCGGGAGUGUUACUGACGCUUAAGCUCGAAGGUGCGGGUAUCGAACAGG
rnacentral:rRNA from 1 species